rnacentral:lncRNA from 1 species
GGUGUUUGUCUUUCAUGCGUUUCCCCCUUCUUCGAUUUGAAAUAGUGAAUAAUUUACCAAAACAGUUUGGUGUUUGUGCAGCUGAUUUCUCAGCCAUGGCAUGGCUGUAUUUAGUGUGGCACUACUUUAUGCAACAUUUUAUGUUUGUCUUGGAGUAUAGAUUCACCUGAUUCAAUGAAGGUUACGGACAGUAAGUAACUUGCAAGCAUGAAUUUUUUCCACCAUUAAAUCUACUCCUUUUUUCCUAUGUUUACAUGCCCCCACAUAUUUACGGGUUCAACUUUUGACCAACUAAUCCUGGGUUAGUUCAUAAAAAUUAUACCAUUGAAUUUCUAUUAUAAAAUAGUUUCCAGCAGUAUAUAUAUUUUCUGACAUGUGAAUCAUCUAUUAUUGGUCAAUGUUCAAACACAAAACCUGAGGGCGCCAUGUAAAUAGAGACGGAGGUAGUAGUUAUUAGUUUUCACAAUGUAUACAUUUUUAAACUAUCAGUUUCUUUUAAGAAUUGAUGCGUACGCGUUCAAUUGAUGUCGCGAAUUCAACAAGUGCUUUGAUGUCUCUGUCUACAAGUUUGUGAGUUAGAUUGGUUCAGUAAAUGGCUUAAACUGUUGGAGGAGUCUGUGGUUGUGAUGGUACGUUCAUACGUUGUUGUUGGUAUCGUUCGCUUCCUCCCCCGCAGUGCUCCAUCGUCGAUGGAAGGAUCUCCUCGCCGAUUUUUUCCAAACAAACCGCACCCCGUCUGUUUGUUUCCAUUCAAAUUUCACUCCCAUGACAUGACAACCGAUCCCUCCCCAUCCUACUCUUUCCUUGCAAAAGCAUAACAGAAUCGAAACUUGCCUUGCCUUGACCGACACAUUCCCAGCGGAUUUCACAAAUCAAUCUUCAUCCAGUCCACCGCAGUUCCCGCUGAUCCCCUUUCAUCAUCCCCGCCGCCCCGCCUUCCAAUUAGCCAUCUUUCAUUGCAAUCAUCGAGCCCUACCAUGCAAGCAGUCCUACGAGGCUACGACUGUCGUGGUGCUGGUGGCCUCCAGCGCGCUCGCCGGGGCCAGGGGUGGACUAAGUUUCGGUGCUGUCUCUGGUGGAGACUACGGGAUGCGGCUGCACGAGAAGAACCUGCAGAAGAAGAUGCCGGUGUGGACAGAGAGGCGGACGCAGCAGGAGGCGUGUGUGGCGCAAGCGCGGGCUUAACUUGCGGGCGCGGAUUAGGGAAGAGGCCAUCUCGGUGGCGGCUUGUGACCUGGGGGACGCGCUAGCACGCGAGCCCGGUGACCAUCAUGUGUGCGUUCUGGACGUACCAUGUGGUGUAUGCCACAAUGCCAUGUGGGUUGGGCCUGCAUGAAAUGCUGAUCUGUAGCAGAUCCUCCAUCGCCUCAUCACUGGCUGCUCAAGGGCAGCAUCACACACCAAGGCCUGUGACAACAUCUUCAUGCCCAACUCUCACUCCACAUGGGAACGACACUGCUCUAUUGCUUGCUUAUUUAAGAUCAUGGCAAUCAUUUUAUCUAGCCUAUGUGUUUCUAAUUUUCUCCCCUUAUUGUUGCAGGUUAGAGUGCAGCUUUCAGACACUUCUUUCUUUGGGAUAGUUGGAAUACUAUGACUAAAUAUAGAAGAGGCUCAAAUGGUAAUGCUAUCAGUGUUUGCCCCUUCCGUGAUUUAUGCGUAGCAUGUAGACUAUCAGCGACAAUUUGAGCCUCUUUGUGAAGUAGUUUUGUAGGGUAUUGCUUCAAGUCAAGAAAAUAGCUUCCAAAGAUAGUUUAACCGAAGAGCUUCUGAUCUCUACAUGUGAAUGGUAAACUGCCAAUUUUGUACUUUACUAUUCUAUAUCAAGAAAAUAAAUAAUUGCAUCAUGGUAUUAGUGGCUUAAUUAUUUUUAUGUGCAUUGAACUAUAUAUUUUGAAGCACUUAAUAGUAUCUUUCAUGGAGGAUCUAGGACUCCUGCCAAUUUAUUGUACGGAGUUGUUCUUUGCUAAAAAAAACUUUGCUCAAUUGCGCUUUGCCUCUCAGUGUUAUCAUUAGUUAAUGGCCUAAACUGUUGACAACUUAUCAAAAAAGAAUAAUCAUAUGCAGAUGCAGAAGCAUAUUAGUCAUGCAGAAAUAAUCAUAUGCUGAAGGAAGGACUUGGAACUGUAACUAAAAACAAAAUGGUAAGUGGAGGGGCUCUGAUAUUGCAAUAAAAAGAAAUGAUAGAUAUUUCACUGGGAAGCGAACUCAGGAAGACAAAAUAAUACAAUCCUUACAUUUUCAGAUUACUCUUAUUUUCUUAUGCAUGUUCCUAUACGGAUUGGUCCUGAAUGUUUGACUUCUCGUAGAAAUGAAGAUGCAUACCCCCAACCUCAACUGUUGUGUCACCAUCGAGGACAUCUAGCUGCUUGUUAUUCUUCAGUUACUAUUGCUCUUAAGAUUCAUGUCUUAGAUAUUCUUAGGAGAGAAAUUGUAUGGAAUUUAAUGAUCAUUCAUCUCAACAAAUAUACGUGAUAUUUCCUUGUAAAAGGUUGCCUACCGAAUUUAUGGCCUACUAUUAAAGGGGAGUUUGUUUCCACUUCCAC